CGUGGAGACAGGUGGUGCAUGGCUGUCGUCAGCUCGUGUCGUGAGAUGUUGGGUUAAGUCCCGCAACGAGCGCAACCCUCACCCCUAGUUGCCACCGGGUAAAGCCGAGCACUCGAGGGGAACUGCCAGCGUCAAGCUGGAGGAAGGCGGGGAUGACGUCAAGUCAUUAUGCCCCUUACGCCCUGGGCUACACACGUGCUACAAUGGCCGGUACAAAGGGACGCGAGACUGCAAGGUGGAGCUAAUCCCAAAAAACUGGUCUAAGUUCAGAUUGCAGUCUGCAACUCGACUGCAUGAAGGAGGAAUCGCUAGUAAUCGCGCAUCAGCACGGCGCGGUGAAUACGUUCCCGGGCCUUGUACACACCGCCCGUCACACCACGAAAGCUGUCUGUACUCGAAGUCGCUGAG
rnacentral:rRNA from 1 species